UGGUGAAACGGUGAUAUAGGGGCUUGUCUGUCAAUCAGGUUACAGCACUGGCACUGUGGUUUAAUGAUAGUUAGCUCCACUCUCCCACAGAUGCUGGUGUAGGAUGUCUGCUAUGCAUUGGGAAGCCCGGCGCCGGCAGACCAUGGAGGACAGCAGGAUGUCCAGGGCCAAGCAGCAGAUGACAAAGGACCCUUCAGAGCCAAGCUCAAAGCCACUGGCAGAGUCUAACGCACCAGCUCAGCAGCCAGUACUCCCAGCAGUGGUGAAGAACUCAUAUCCAGUCAUUGGUGAAGAAGAAUAAUAUGGACUGCACCCAACUAUCAAGGCAACUUUCUGUGCAACUUCAGCACCACUCAGUGGCCAUUUCAAAGUACGACACCCUUGAAUCAUGUGACCAAACAAGGAAGGUGGAAUCACAAAGCCUGAAAAAAGGAGGUAUUUUAAAGUAUUCAAUACUGUAUUAUAUUAUUUAUUUCACUGAUCUGACAAACGUGAAAACAAUGCACUAAAACCAUUCAUUCAAGGAAUAGAGGAAGUAAAGAUUGAGUAU